CCAAAGUAUAAUUACAGCAAUGUGAAGGGGAACAACAAUUCCUCAAAGACAAAAUCCUCAUGGGAGUCUCACAUUGUGAAGGGGUUUACAGGUACGGAGAAAAAAAUAAAAAACAAAGUACAAACCAUAUCACAAGGCCAGAAAUUGCCACUAGCUGGUUCCGGCAUUGGGAACCAAAAGAACCAGUCUGCGGUUUCACAAUCAAGAGUCAAGAGGUCGCUUAUUGGUGAUCUAUCUUGUUCAAUUUAAACCGCACUAGUUCAUCCACAUACGGUGAAUGUCAACAACAAGACAAAGUCUUUGGGAGGUUCUCAAGAUUUAUUUCUUAAGAUUGAUCGUUUGAGGAACCUACACCAAGAAUCGAAAGAAAGAAAGUCCAAAUUGCAAGUUGAGUUAUAAGAGUAUAAAAGAAACCCCUAGAUUUUGGACCUUGAGAGAGAGCUUGAACUGAAAAAGAGUGAAAUUGAUGGCCUUAUCCAGAAGAGUGAAAUUGAUGAACUGAAUGUGAGAGGGACAGUCUAACCGAAUAAUUUGAUUGAUUUUGACUUCUGUUUCAAACAAGCAGGAUAAUUUCAACCCAGUUCUCUGAAUUUUUUUCGUGUUCUCACCGAAAACAAACCCAUCGCGAGAGGUGGAUCUGUCGAGAAAUUUUUCUUCGAGGUUUCGCCUCUGGGUAUUCAAAGUGGUUUGGGGAUUUUCAACUUCAGUGGGAAUAAAUAAAUAAUGGGCCAUGUUAGGGUGAAAUGAAUGAAAAACCAAUAAACUAACCCACUUUCCCUUCCUUUUUUC
rnacentral:lncRNA from 1 species